UCUGCAUAGGCGAAAGCCUGACAGGGUUACUCUGAGUGAUUUCCGUUAAGGGGAUCUUUUGGCACCUCUAAAAAUGGUGCAGAAUAAGGGGUGGGCAAGCCUGGUGUCAGCCGCCGCGGUAAUACCAGCACCCCGAGUGGUCGGGACGAUUAUUGGGCCUAAAGCAUCCGUAGCCGGUCCUGCAAGUCUUCCGUUAAAUCCAGCCGCUCAACGGAUGGGCUGCGGAGGAUACUAUAUGGCUAGGAGGCGGGAGAGGCAAGCGGUACUCAGUGGGUAGGGGUAAAAUCCUUUGAUCCAUUGAAGACCACCAGUGGCGAAGGCGGCUUGCCAGAACGCGCUCGACGGUGAGGGAUGAAAGCUGGGGGAGCAAACCGGAUUAGAUACCCGGGUAGUCCCAGCUGUAAACGAUGCAGACUCGGUGAUGGGUUGGCCUCUUGCUAUCUCAGUGCCGCAGGGAAGCCGUUAAGUCUGCCGCCUGGGGAGUACGGUCGCAAGACUGAAACUUAAA
rnacentral:rRNA from 2 species